rnacentral:rRNA from 2 species
CGAGUGGCGGACGGGUGAGUAAUGUCUGGGAAACUGCCUGAUGGAGGGGGAUAACUACUGGAAACGGUGGCUAAUACCGCAUAACGUCGCAAGACCAAAGAGGGGGACCUUCGGGCCUCUUGCCAUCAGAUGUGCCCAGAUGGGAUUAGCUUGUUGGUGAGGUAACGGCUCACCAAGGCGACGAUCCCUAGCUGGUCUGAGAGGAUGACCAGCCACACUGGAACUGAGACACGGUCCAGACUCCUACGGGAGGCAGCAGUGGGGAAUAUUGCACAAUGGGCGCAAGCCUGAUGCAGCCAUGCCGCGUGUAUGAAGAAGGCCUUCGGGUUGUAAAGUACUUUCAGCGGGGAGGAAGGUGUUGUGGUUAAUAACCGCAGCAAUUGACGUUACCCGCAGAAGAAGCACCGGCUAACUCCGUGCCAGCAGCCGCGGUAAUACGGAGGGUGCAAGCGUUAAUCGGAAUUACUGGGCGUAAAGCGCACGCAGGCGGUCUGUCAAGUCGGAUGUGAAAUCCCCGGGCUCAACCUGGGAACUGCAUUCGAAACUGGCAGGCUUGAGUCUUGUAGAGGGGGGUAGAAUUCCAGGUGUAGCGGUGAAAUGCGUAGAGAUCUGGAGGAAUACCGGUGGCGAAGGCGGCCCCCUGGACAAAGACUGACGCUCAGGUGCGAAAGCGUGGGGAGCAAACAGGAUU